rnacentral:tRNA from 1 species
UGGGGAAUAGUUUAAUGGUAAAACAUUGGACUUUGACUUCGUUAAUCUUUGUUCGAAUCCAAGUUCCCAAGCCA